rnacentral:rRNA from 1 species
CGUGGACCCGUGAUCCGGGUUGCGGACAGUGUCUGGUGGGUAGUUUGACUGGGGCGGUCUCCUCCUAAAGAGUAACGGAGGAGCACGAAGGUUGGCUAAUCCUGGUCGGACAUCAGGAGGUUAGUGCAAUGGCAUAAGCCAGCUUGACUGCGAGCGUGACGGCGCGAGCAGGUGCGAAAGCAGGUCAUAGUGAUCCGGUGGUUCUGAAUGGAAGGGCCAUCGCUCAACGGAUAAAAGGUACUCCGGGGAUAACAGGCUGAUACCGCCCAAGAGUUCAUAUCGACGGCGGUGUUUGGCACCUCGAUGUCGGCUCAUCACAUCCUGGGGCUGAAGUAGGUCCCAAGGGUAUGGCUGUUCGCCAUUUAAAGUGGUACGCGAGCUGGGUUUAGAACGUCGUGAGACAGUUCGGUCCCUAUCUGCCGUGGGCGCUGGAGAACUGAGGGGGGCUGCUCCUAGUACGAGAGGACCGGAGUGGACGCAUCACUGGUGUUCGGGUUGUCAUGCCAAUGGCACUGCCCGGUAGCUAAAUGCGGAAGAGA